rnacentral:lncRNA from 1 species
UUUUUUUUUUUUUUGAGACAGAGUCUCACUAUGUCGCCCAGGCUGAAGUGCAGUGGCGCGAUCUCGGCUCACUGUAACCUCCGCCUCCCUGUUUCAAGGGAUUCUCCUGCCUCAGGCUCCUGAGUAGCUGGAACUACAGGCGCCUGCCGCCACACCCAGCUAAUUUUUGUAUAUUUUUUAAGUAGAGAUGGGGUUUCGCCAUAUUGGCCAGGCUGGUCUCGAACUCCUGACCUCAUGAUCUGCCUGCCUCAGCCCCUCAAAGUGCUGGGAUUAUAGGCGUGAGCCACCGCACCCGGCCAAUUGUUUUGUACUAUAGUCACCUUCUUGUGCUAGCAAAUACUAGGUCUUAUACAUUCUUUGUAACUAUUCUUUUGUCAUUCCCGCUUCUCACCCACCUCCCCACUAACCUUACCAGCCUCUGGUAACCCUCCUUUUAUUCUCUAUCUCCAUGAGUUCAAUUGUUUUAAUUUUUCGCUCCUGGCUGGGUGCGGUGGCUCACACCUGUAUCCUAGCACUUUGGGAGGCCAAGACUGGUGGAUCACCUGAGGUCAGGAGUUCAAGACCAGCCUGGCCAACAUGGUGAAACCCUGUCUCUACUAAAAUACAAAAACUAGCUGGGCAUGAUGGCGAGUGCCUGUAAUCCCAGCUACUCAGGAGGCUGAGACGGGAGAAUCUCUUGAACCUGGGAGAUGGUGGUUGUGGUGAGCUGAGAUCGCGCCACUGCACUCUAACCUGGGCAGCUGAGUGAGACUCCGUCCCAAAAAUAAAAAUAAAAAAUUUGUUGCUUCCACAAAUAAGUGAGAAUAUGUGAAGUUUGUGUUUCUGUACCUGGCUUCUUUCACGUAACAUAAUGACCUCCAGUUCCAUCCAUAUUGUUGCAAAUAACAGGAUCUCACUUUUUAAAUGGCAGAAUAGUAUUCCAUUGUGUAUAUGCACAUUUUAUUUAUCCAUUCAUCUGUUGAUGGACACUUAGGCUGCUUCCAAAUCUUGGCUAUUGUGAAUAGGGCUGCAGUAAACAUGCGAGUGCGGAUCUUUUCCAUACACUGAUUUCCUUUUUUCUGGUGUAUACCUAAGAGUGGGAUUGCUGGAUGGUAUGGUAGCUGUCUUUGGCUUUUGCUCUUGAUAGCUGUCCUUGCCUCUCUGAACUUGAGCUUCUUUAUCUGUAAAAUGGGAGUUAGGGGUCUGUUCUGAGCAUCACAGGAGAUGGAGGAUGAGCAGGUAGAUGUAAACUAAUUAAACAGAUCAGUCCUACUGAUCCCAUAGAAGAAAGGGAGUCAGGAACCCUUUCAUUCCAUCUAUAUUUACUGAGUACACACAGUGUGCUUGAACUGGGAUACCCACCAUCUUUUCGCAUUACCCUGACCGCCCUCUAAUCUAUUCUCCACCCUGUUGUCAGAGUAAUGUUUCUAAUGAUCAGAAAUCUGAUCAUGUCACUACCCUACUUAAAAGUAUCUGAUGAUGGCCAGGUACAGUGGCUCGUGCCUAUAAUCCCAACACUUUGGGAGGCUGAGGCAGGUGGAUCGCUUGAGCCCGGAGUUCGAGACUACCCUGAGCAACAUGGCAAACCCUGUCUCAACAAAAAAUACAAAAAUGGCUGGGCUCAGUGGCUCACACCUGUAAUCCCAGCACUUUGGGAGGUCAAGGUGGGCGGAUCACCUCAGCUCGGAAGUUCGAGACUAGCCUGGCAACAUGGCGAAACCCCAUCUCUACUAAAAAUACAAAAAUUAGCUGGGCAUGAUGGUGCACACCUGUAGUCCCAGCUACUCGGGAGGCUGAGGCAUGAGGCAAGAAUCACAUGGGCUGGGAGGUAGAGGCUUCAGUGAGCCGAGAUAACACCAGUGCACUCCUGCCUGGGUGGCAAAGGGAGACCGUGUCUCAAGAAAACAAGACAAAAACAUAGCAGGCAUGGUGCUGCACGCCUGUGACCCAAGUCACACGGGAGGUUGAGGUGGGAGGAUUGCUUGAGCCUGGGAGGUUGAGGCUGCAGUAAGCUGAGAUCAUACCACUGCACUCCAGCCUGGGCAAUAGAGUGAGACUCUGUCUCAAAAGAAAAAAAAAAAAAA